GGCCCUCAGCACAGGAAAGACAUAGACCAGUUGGAGCGGGUCCAGAGGAGGGCCACAAAAAUGAUCAGAAGGAUGGAACACCUCUCCUAUGAAGAAAGGCUGAGAGAGUUGGGGUUGUUCAGCC